AUGGAGAGUGCAGUCACACUUCUCUUCAGAGAAGGUGGCAGGAAGCCAACACUGAAGAUGCUGUUGCUCCUGCUGCUUCUGGGGCCCAGCAGCAGGCUUCGGGCUCUCGUCUCUCAACAUCCAAGCAGGGUCAUCUGUAAGAGUGGAUCCUCUGUGGAGAUCGAGUGCCGUUCUGUGAACUUCCAGGCCACAACUAUGGUUUGGUAUCGUCAGUUUCCGAAACAGAGCUUCAUGCUGAUGGCGACUUCUAAUGAAGGCUCUGGCGUCACAUACGAACAAGGUUUUACCAAGGCCAAGUUUCCCAUCAACCACCCAAACCUAACCUUUUCAAGUCUGACGGUGACAAGUGCACACCCUGAAGACAGCAGCUUCUACAUUUGUGGGGCUAGGGACACAGCGCUGGGAGGAGACCAGAGACCUCAGCAAGAACCUUUGUGGCACCCAGCCUCUCCCACCCUAUCAGAUGCACAGAGCCCUCUGGAAGGAAGGGUGGGGAGUGAAAAACCACAACUUUCCUGA